GACGGACGCUGGCGGCGUGCUUAACACAUGCAAGUCGAACGGAAAGGCCCCAGCUUGCUGGGGUACUCGAGUGGCGAACGGGUGAGUAACACGUGGGUGAUCUGCCCUGCACUCUGGGAUAAGCCUGGGAAACUGGGUCUAAUACCGGAUAGGACCGUGCUUUAGUGUGUGCGGUGGAAAGUUUUUCGGUGCAGGAUGAGCCCGCGGCCUAUCAGCUUGUUGGUGGGGUAAUGGCCUACCAAGGCGGCGACGGGUAGCCGGCCUGAGAGGGUGUACGGCCACAUUGGGCCUGAGAGACGGCCCAGACUCCUACGGGAGGCAGCAGUGGGGAAUAUUGCACAAUGGGCGCAAGCCUGAUGCAGCGACGCCGCGUGGGGGAUGACGGCCUUCGGGUUGUAAACCCCUUUCGGCAGGGACGAAGCUUUUGUGACGGUACCUGCAUAAGAAGCACCGGCUAACUACGUG
rnacentral:rRNA from 1 species